CCUACGGGCGGCAGCAGUGAGGAAUAUUGGUCAAUGGGCGCGAGCCUGAACCAGCCAAGUAGCGUGAAGGAUGACUGCCCUACGGAUUGUAAACUUCUUUUAUCAAGGAAUAAAAUGAGGCACGUGUGCCUUUUUGUAUGUACUUUAUGAAUAAGCAUCGGCUAACUCCGUGCCAGCAGCCGCGGUAAUACGGAGGAUCCGAGCGUUAUCCGGCUUUAUUGGGUUUAAAUGGAGCGGCGAUGGGUUGUUAAGUCAGGUGUAAAAGGUUGCGGCUCAACCGUCAUAUUGCAGUUGAAACUGGUAGUCUUGAGUACACUAGAGGUAUGCGGAAUGCGUGGUGUAGCGGUGAAAUGCAUAGAUAUCACGAAGAACUCCGAUUGCGAAGGCAGCUUACUAAACUUCCACUGACAUUGAUGCUCGAAAGUGUGGGUAUCAAACAGGAUUAGAUACCCUAGUAGUC
rnacentral:rRNA from 1 species